rnacentral:misc_RNA from 1 species
UUAACUUUUCGCUUUUUACUCAGAGAUGCCACUAUAAUACAAGAGUUUGAGACCUCCGGCGGGCGCCCCUCGCCCCGUCGGGCGUGGGCUGCGGUCCCCCGAGGGGUCCCGCGCCGCCGAAGCAACCUGGAUACGUUCGCGAUGGUUUGAAGUUGCCUUUCGGCUUCUUAUAAUGAUCCCUCCGCUGGUUCACCAACGGAGA